AGGACGAACGCUGGCGGCGUGCUUAACACAUGCAAGUCGAGCGGAAAGGCCCUUCGGGGUACUCGAGCGGCGAACGGGUGAGUAACACGUGAGUAAUCUGCCCUUAGCUCUGGGAUAGCUCCGGGAAACCGGGAUUAAUACCAGAUACGACCACUUUAGACAUCUGCCGUGGUGGAAAGGAUUCCGGCUAGGGAUGAGCUCGCGGCCUAUCAGCUUGUUGGUGGGGUAACGGCCUACCAAGGCGACGACGGGUA
rnacentral:rRNA from 1 species